rnacentral:rRNA from 1 species
UACAGAGGUCUCAAGCGUUGUUCGGAUUCAUUGGGCGUAAAGGGUGUGUAGGUGGCGCCGUAAGUCAGGUGUGAAAUCUCGGGGCUUAACUCCGAAACUGCAUUUGAUACUGCGGUGCUUGAGGACUGGAGAGGAGACUGGAAGUUUAUGGUGUAGCAGUGAAAUGCGUAGAUAUCAUAAGGAAGACCAGUGGCGAAGGCGGGUCUCUGGACAGUUCCUGACGCUGAGGCACGAAGGUCAGGGGAGCAAACGGG